rnacentral:lncRNA from 1 species
AGGAAAUGAAUACAAAACCUACUCCCUUCCCUUGGACAUCUAAUUUCAAGCUUUCCAGAGGAUACCAACCAAAACCCUCACUUCAGACAUUUCAAGCUCAUUCCCAGCUGACACAUCUAUCCGUAUUCUUCAGAACAUCAGGACCCCAGGUAGCAUAAAUCUGCUAAAUUCAGUGAAGCUACACAGUUGGAAUUCCAAGUUAAAUGAGAAGAAAUCCAGCUGUUUCUAGGAAAUUUGAGAACACUGGGGGGUGAGUGUUUCUACAUUUUAAAACAAUUAUUUUUAUGGAUUUUAAUACUUUUUAUUUAU